AUUGAACGCUGGCGGCAGGCCUAACACAUGCAAGUCGAGCGGAUGAAGGGAGCUUGCUCCUGGAUUCAGCGGCGGACGGGUGAGUAAUGCCUAGGAAUCUGCCUGGUAGUGGGGGAUAACGUCCGGAAGCGGGCGCUAAUACCGCAUACGUCCUGAGGGAGAAAGUGGGGGAUCUUCGGACCUCACGCUAUCAGAUGAGCCUAGGUCGGAUUAGCUAGUUGGUGGGGUAAAGGCCUUCCAAGGCGACGAUCCGUAACUGGUCUGAGAGGAUGAUCAGUCACACUGGAACUGAGACACGGUCCAGACUCCUACGGGAGGCAGCAGUGGGGAAUAUUGGACAAUGGGCGAAAGCCUGAUCCAGCCAUGCCGCGUGUGUGAAGAAGGUCUUCGGAUUGUAAAGCACUUUAAGUUGGGAGGAAGGGCAGUAAGUUAAUACCUUGCUGUUUUGACGUUACCAACAGAAUAAGCACCGGCUAACUUCGUG
rnacentral:rRNA from 1 species